rnacentral:rRNA from 1 species
GACGAACGCUGGCGGCGUGCUUAACACAUGCAAGUCGUACGGUCAGGCCCUUUCUGGGGUACACUAGUGGCGAACGGGUGAGUAACACGUUGGUAACCUUCCCCCCACUUUGUGAUUACGCCAGUAAACUGGUGCUAAUUCUGGAUAUGUCUUCCUGCUCCAUGGGGGGGGUUGGAAAGCUCCUGCGGUUGUUGUUGGACUCGCGGCCUAUCAGCUUGUUGGUGGGGUAGUGGCCUACCAAGGCGGCGACGGGUAGCCGGCCUGAGAGGGUGACCGGCCACAUUGGGACUGAGAUACGGCCCAGACUCCUACGGGAGGCAGCAGUGGGGAAUAUUGCACAAUGGGCGCAAGCCUGAUGCAGCAACGCCGCGUGCGGGAUGACGGCCUUCGGGUUGUAAACCGCUUUCAGCAGGGACGAAGCUUUUUGUGACGGUACCUGCAGAAGAAGCACCGGCUAACUACGUG